GGGUUUUGGUCUAGUGGUAUGAUUCUCGUUUCGGGUGCGAGAGAUCCUGGGUUCAAUUCCCGGAAACCCUCC
rnacentral:tRNA from 1 species